UGUAAACUUUAAACUUUCAGCGAUGGAUGUCUUGGCUCACACAACGAUGAAGGACGCAGCGAAUUGCGAUACGCAGUAUGACUUGCAGACUUCUGCGAUUUACCAGACCUCUGAACGUAACAAACACACCGCCUCUGCUCGCACGCGGUACUCCCGUUUCAGUGAGCCCCC
rnacentral:rRNA from 1 species